rnacentral:lncRNA from 1 species
CGCGUCCUCAAGACCAGCGUGCACAGAGUGGGCGCAGUAGCCUGAGCUUUGCUCAAGAAGGUCUCCAGACCUGCAGAGAGAACUAGAUGCCAAACACCAGAGGCUCACACACACUCACUCAUGCACACACACACACAACAGGCUCACACCAUCCUCUCUACACACUCACUCACGGACACACAUGCACACACACACUCAUAUACAUACACACGCACACCAGGCUCACACCAUCCUCUCUACACACUCGCUCACGGACACACAUGCACACACACACUCAUAUACAUAUGCACGCACACCAGGCUCACACAAUCCUCUCUACACACUCACUCAUGAACACACAUACACUCAUAUACAUACACACGCACACCAGGCUCACACCAUCCUCUCUACACACUCACUCAUGUACACACAUGCACACACACAUACAUAUGCAUGCACACCAGGCUCACACAAUCCUCUCCACACACACUCAUGGACACACACACUCACAACAGGCUCACACAAUCCUCUCUACACACUCACUCAUGGACACACAUGCACACACACACUCAUAUACAUAUGCACGCACACCAGGUUCACACACACUCAUGCACACACUCACAUACACAUGCACUCACACCAGGCUCACACUCACUCAUGCACACACACACUCAUAUACAUACGCACUCACGCCAGGCUCACACCAUCCUCUCUACACACUCAUGGACACACAUGCACACACACACACUCAUAUACAUACACAUGCACACCAGGCUCACACAAUCCUCUCUACACACUCAUGUACACACAUGCACACACACACACUCAUAUACAUAUGCACACCAGGCUCACACAAUCCUCUCUACACACUCAUGUACACACAUGCACACACACACUCAUAUACAUACACACGCACACCAGGCUCACACAAUCCUCUCUACACACUCAUGGACACACAUGCACACACACUCAUAUACAUACACACGCACACCAGACUCACACAAUCCUCUCUACACACUCAUGGACACACAUGCACACACACACUCAUAUACAUACGCACUCACACCAGGCUCACACCAUCCUCUCUACACACUCACUCAUGCACACACACACUCAUACAUACACACGCACACCAGGCUCACACCAUCCUCUCUACACACAUGUACACACAUGCACACACAUACAUACACAUGCACACCAGGCUCACACAAUCCUCUG